AUUGAACGCUGGCGGCAAGCCUAACACAUGCAAGUCGAACGAGUGGCGGACGGGUGAGUAAUGUCUGGGAAACUGCCUGAUGGAGGGGGAUAACUACUGGAAACGGUAGCUAAUACCGCAUACCAUCGGAUGUGCCCAUAUGGGAUUAGCUAGUAGGUGGGGUAAAGGCUCACCUAGGCGACGAUCCCUAGCUGGUCUGCGGGGAUGACCGGGCAAACUGGAAAGGAAACCCGGUCCAGAAUGCUACGGAGGGCAGCAGUGGGGAAUAUUGCACAAUGGGCGCAAGCCUGAUGCAGCCAUGCCGCGUGUAUGAAGAAGGCCUUCGGGUUGUAAAGUACUUUCAGCGGGGAGGCGUUACCCGCAGAAGAAGCACCGGCUAACUCCGUGCCAGCAGCCGCGGUAAUAC
rnacentral:rRNA from 1 species